AGUGAACGCUGGCGGUAGGCCUAACACAUGCAAGUCGAACGGCAGCACAGUAAGAGCUUGCUCUUACGGGUGGCGAGUGGCGGACGGGUGAGGAAUACAUCGGAAUCUACUUUUUCGUGGGGGAUAACGUAGGGAAACUUACGCUAAUACCGCAUACGACCUACGGGUGAAAGCAGGGGAUCUUCGGACCUUGCGCGAUUGAAUGAGCCGAUGUCGGAUUAGCUAGUUGGCGGGGUAAAGGCCCACCAAGGCGACGAUCCGUAGCUGGUCUGAGAGGAUGAUCAGCCACACUGGAACUGAGACACGGUCCAGACUCUUACGGGAGGCAGCAGUGGGGAAUAUUGGACAAUGGGCGCAAGCCUGAUCCAGCCAUACCGCGUGGGUGAAGAAGGCCUUCGGGUUGUAAAGCCCUUUUGUUGGGAAAGAAAAGCAGCAGGUUAAUACCCCGCUGUUAUGACGGUACCCAAAGAAUAAGCACCGGCUAACUUCGUG
rnacentral:rRNA from 1 species